rnacentral:ncRNA from 3 species
UGCUAUGCCAACAUAUUGCCAU